rnacentral:sRNA from 1 species
GAAAGAAUUGAUGAACCAUUCGUCGUGGGUCCCACCCGCUGUGCAGGGAUACCCCAUCUAGUGUUAACAAGCUUUGAUGCAUGAAAAAAUUCUAAAACAAUGCUUGAACAAGUAAUUUUGGAUAUAGCCCAAAUCACACAAAUGCCCGAAAAAGUACUUAAAGGUCAAAAUUUGGGGUCGACAAAAAGUCAAUGGAAAAGUUUGUUUGUCCUGCUUCUUUCAUCAGAGGGCUCUAUUUGGGCUUUCCGAAAAGGUAUCACAUGACAAA